rnacentral:sRNA from 1 species
AAGGAUCAUUACAGUAGUCGCCCGGGUUGCCGCAAGGCCUCCCGGGUAACCUACCACCCUUUGUUUAUUACACUUUGUUGCUUUGGCAGGCCUGCCCUCGGGCUGCUGGCUCCGGCCGGCGAGCGCCUGCCAGAGGACCUAAACUCUGUUUGUCUAUACUGUCUGAGUACUAUAUAAUAGUUAAAACUUUCAACAACGGAUCUCUUGGUUCUGGCAUCGAUGAAGAACGCAGCGAAAUGCGAUAAGUAAUGUGAAUUGCAGAAUUCAGUGAAUCAUCGAAUCUUUGAACGCACAUUGCGCCCCCUGGUAUUCCGGGGGGCAUGCCUGUCCGAGCGUCAUUACAACCCUCAAGCUCAGCUUGGUGUUGGGCCCCGCCGCCCCGGCGGGCCCUAAAGUCAGUGGCGGUGCCGUCCGGCUCCGAGCGUAGUAAUUCUUCUCGCUCUGGAGGCCCGGCCGCGUGCCCGCCAGCAACCCCCAAUUUUUUUCAGGUUGACCUCGGAUCAGGUAGGGAUACCCGCUGAACUUAA